rnacentral:rRNA from 1 species
GACGAACGCUGGCGGCGUGCUUAACACAUGCAAGUCGAACGGAAAGGCCCUGCUUUUGUGGGGUGCUCGAGUGGCGAACGGGUGAGUAACACGUGAGUAACCUGCCCUUGACUUUGGGAUAACUUCAGGAAACUGGGGCUAAUACCGGAUAGGAGCUCCUGCUGCAUGGUGGGGGUUGGAAAGCUUCGGCGGUUGGGGAUGGACUCGCGGCUUAUCAGCUUGUUGGUGGGGUAGUGGCUUACCAAGGCUUUGACGGGUAGCCGGCCUGAGAGGGUGACCGGCCACAUUGGGACUGAGAUACGGCCCAGACUCCUACGGGAGGCAGCAGUGGGGAAUAUUGCACAAUGGGCGGAAGCCUGAUGCAGCAACGCCGCGUGCGGGAUGACGGCCUUCGGGUUGUAAACCGCUUUCGCCUGUGACGAAGCGUGAGUGACGGUAAUGGGUAAAGAAGCACCGGCUAACUACGU